rnacentral:rRNA from 1 species
GACGGACCGUACGAACGUUAUUCGGAAUUACUGGGCUUAAAGGGUGCGUAGGCGGCUCAGAAAGUUGAAUGUGAAAGCCCUCGGCUUAACCGAGGAAUUGCAUCCAAAACUACUGGGCUUGAGUGAGAUAGAGGUGAGCGGAACUCACGGUGGAGCGGUGAAAUGCGUAGAUAUCCGGAGGAACACCGGUGGCGAAGGCGGCUUCCUGGACCGACACUGACGCUGAGGCGCGAAAGCUAGGGGAGCAAACGGG